GAACAAUAUUACUGAUUUGUGGCUCACACAUUCCCUCACACGCUUUGAGGAAGCGAGAGAAGCAAAGACCAACAUUGAACAGACUCCUUAGUGUUGGAGUUAUAACAACACACCAGGCUGAUGUGUUCCAGCAGCUUUGAAAGGUACUCAACUGAAGCUCAUUUGAUUCCUGACCCAAAAUAAUUCUGAAAACCACCAGAGGACAGAUUUUGGCAUGGAGCUGACAACUUCAGUUUUCACCACAAUAAAGGAAACCAGUUACAUGUCUAAAGAACAUUUUAAUGACAAUUAAUGUAUUGGAUGAUAUAUUUUGUUUUUCUUUUAUUGUUACCAAAAUACAUGGGCAACAGCUGAGAGUGAAAUUAUGUUUUCACUGUGACUUUUUUUUGCACACAGUUAAAUUGGCAGAAAAAAGCUGAGUUCCCAUGAAGGCUAUUUCUGUUUUGCUGAUUUACAUGUUGCCUGAAGAAUCAGAAUUAAAGAAGCAGUCCAGUCCGA